UACAGAGGUCUCAACCGUUGUUCGGAUUCAUUGGGCGUAAAGGGUGCGUAGGCGGUCGCGUAAGUCAGGUGUGAAAUCUCAGGGCUCAACCCUGAAACUGCACUUGAUACUGCGUGGCUCGGGUACUGGAGAGGAGACUGGAAUUUACGGUGUAGCAGUGAAAUGCGUAGAUAUUGGGAGGAACACCAGUGGCGAAGGCGGCUCACUGGACUGGUACUGACGCUGAUGCGCGAAAGCGUGGGGAGCAAACAGG
rnacentral:rRNA from 1 species